rnacentral:misc_RNA from 1 species
GAGGUUGGGAAUGCCAGGUUGCUGAGAGGCGUGUUGCAGCAGAAGGAUAUGUAUUCUGGGGUGCUUCGUGGGUUGGGAAAUGAUGAUGAUGAUACCGUGGUUUAUGUGUUAUCCACUUUGCGUGAUAGGGUUCUUGUCCCGGAUUCACUGGUGCCCACUGGGCUUAGAAGUGUGCUCUUUGGGAGUGUAACUCUGGAGCAGCUUGCUAGCAUUUCGGGACGAGAUGGUGGUGGAUUGGCUGCAGAAUUAGCUCAUGAAGUGUUA